CAAAAGUAGCAUAGAAUGAAGACACUAACUACUUCUCUUAAUAAAGGUAUCGGCUUUUCAGUACUGCACACAUGUGCUCAUUUAAUAAAUUCAAGGCCUACAGAUCAUCACCGUUAAAAAAAGCGCUGCUCAAAUAUAUUUAUGGUAACAUCAGGUGGCACCUCCAUCAAGCAGAUUAAAAUUAACCCCAAACCUAUGUGAGAAGACCGUAAUACAAUGAUCCACUUAAUCAAGCAAAUGCUGAUAGAAUAUUUUUCUUCAGGGUGAAUUCGUCUGCCUUUGCUGGGCUGAUCGACUGCACCAGAAUAAAAAAAUAAAAAAAA